AGAUCACUUGUCGGUGACUCACAAAACCUAGGGAAGCAAGUUAACAGUUGUCAAAAUGAGCACCCCCAAAAAGAACAGUGGGAUCACAAGAUACAAUGUGGCAAAGAGGAGUCAACAUCUCCACAGCUUGUGGGCCACCCCAGUUUCCUUGCAAAGAGGAGAGGAAAGGAGAAAAAGAAGAGAAACAAAAGGCCCUGUGCAUACCUGGGAGGGGCCCAGUCGUGCUUGGUACAGUCCAGUAGGGUCCCCACGUAAGUUUUGUUCCUCCACGUGACAUUGACCACUAGGACACCUGCGGGGGGUGGGGGUGGGGUAAAGGAUGAAAAGGGACCACAUUUAACACUGAUUAUUUUAUUUCCACUUCAUUUAUUGUUAUUAUUUUUAUCAGCAAAGUUCUAUUUCCAUUUGCUUUCAAAAGCUGUGGUUUGCAUUCUUCCUCUUUCUGGUUUCAGUGACCUCAAGUUAAAACCCACAGGAAAUUGUGUGUGUGUGUGUGUGUGUGUAUGUGUGUGAAUUUGUGCGCGUGCGUGCAUGUGGUACAAAAGGGUGAGACUGUGUGUGAGAGUGUAAUCAAGAUACUGCUGACAGAAGGAAAUGGUUUUUGCCAUGUCCUGCUGUAAAACAGCAACACUCACCUCUUAAUUUUUCUAUUAUUACACAUAAUUGCUUUCGUUUGGCAAGCAGCCAACAUAAACUAAGCGCCAGUUACCAGUGCUUAAACCAGAAGGUGACUGAAAGAAAUAGGUUUUGUUUCCAAUUCAACAAUGUAAAAUGAUGGUGAUUUUUAUUAACAAAAAAAAAUUAUGCAUGUGCAUAAAAACAGGUACAGAGGGGAAAGUGGGGGCUCAGAGUCCAGAAAGCAGACAAUCAGCCAUGUUUCCUCUUCCUUAAUCCUUCUCUCUUUGAGUUUGUGAGACAAUAAUCAGCCUUGGUAUGGUAUCUGUUUCACUCUUUGGUCUUGUUUCAUAUUAAGGACUCCUAAAAUAGCCCUCUUAAGAAAAUAAAUGUGCACAAUAGAUUUGCUCUUGGGGUUAUCUUUAGAAUCAACUUUGGUAAGCAUUUGCCACAGAGGAUUAGAGAAGAAAUCUCAAAACCAACACACUUGUUUCCUGCAAGCCGUUUUGCUUUUCCCCACUGCUUUGCAGACAGACAAUUUAAUUUAGCACUGCAUCUGUGAAUUACUAAACUUAAGUGCACUUAGUAUACCAAAUGUCACAGGAAACAAAAUAUAACAUCCUCCUGUUUCCCUGGAGGGCAGGUGCCACUUUUUAAAAAUCUCUCAUUUAAAGCACGUUUUUGGAGGACUUAGAUUUUGAGACAUAAAUAAAAUACUAGGGUAAAUAAAUGAAAAAUCUAAGCGAACCUUUGUUUUCUUUCUGCAUCAACCUCCCGUUCUUUCUUGGAAACACCAGAGGACAUCCCUCAAAGUCUGUUUCUAGCUGGUUUGUUCACUUGAGCUACCCCUGACAGUUUGAAUUUUACAGAAAAUCCGAACUAAGAUCCUUUAGGGUAAGAGAAACCUCACAAGGUAAGACUCAUUUCCUUGGGAACCUUUAAACAGCGGGUAAAUAUUUGAAUGGUUGGGACUCAAGUAACAGAGAAGGAAGAUUUUCUUUCAAAAGUCUCAAAAAAGAGAUUUAAAAAUUGUUUCCCAUAUGGUUUAAGUUGCUAGUGCUUAUACGACAGCUGAAUUUACUCACUGUAAAUUCAGUCUAUUGUAGCAAUAGUCUAGCAGGGGAAGAAAAGCUAGGAUGAAGCAAAGCAAGCAUUUCCUCAACUCAUGGCUGAUUCCUUUGUAAUUCCCUCAGGAAAUUUUUUGAACCAUUGAAUAUAAAAAUUUGUAUUGCGAUGAUAAUCAGUGGUAAUUAGGCAUUUGGUCAGAAUUUGCACAAGACAGAACAAUUGGAGGAAAGGAUUCUUUAUGAGCACAUCCCUUCAGGAAAGGGGAGGGGGUGGGAGAGGAGGCGAAGGGGAAGACUGAGCUGGUUUUCUCAUCAUCUGCUCUCUGGGGCACUGUGUGUGGUGUCAAAGACCUUUGCAGCUGCUUAAAAUUCUUUAGCAUGUCAGCUAUAUUUACAGUGCAGGAAUAUAUCUGUAUUGCCAGAAGGUUACUGCAUUUUAGCUUUAGAUGCAAUAGGCUGAAUCACUGCGUUCCAGAGUCCCUGAUGUAGCACAAAUGUAUAAUUAAAACUGCUUGAAAGGAAACAUGAAAGAAACAACAAACCCUCCAUUCUUGCAGUAAUAAAAUUAAAAACAGGAAAAGUCUGCACAGACACUUAACAUUUGUCUGCAGUGAAAGGCUUUUGUUAUUGCUUUUCCCCUAAGGGUUUCGCGUUUCCAGCAAAAGCUGGCCGCGGAUUGGCCAGCGCCCGCUGCGAACGCUCGCGUCUGAUUGGCUGGGCCGAGGGCGGCCAGCGAAGCACUCGAGGCAGCGGCCGGAGAGAAAGGAGCCGCGCGGGUGGGAGGAUGCUGCCCCAGGGUCUGCCGGCGCGCGGAGCGAGGGCCAGUGCGCCCGGCGACCGGAGGGCUGUCCGCGAUGCCCGGCCCCCUCGGUCCGCGCAGGCUCGUCUACGCUAACCAGGACCGUCCCUUGGAAGAAGGCUGCGAUCCGCGCGGAGGGGCCGCGUUUCCGCUCCAUCACGUACGCCCCGCGGCUCAGCACGACAUGCCAACCCAACUCAGAUCCGAAUUCGCGGUCCCAAAACCAGAUCAGGGGGAAAGUGGGGCCAGAGACGAGUAGGGGACCCAAAGCAAUCUAUCAGUCUCGGGGCUACAGGUUGAAACUGUCACAAAGGCUGAACUGCAGCUGCAGUAUCCACAUAAACUAUUCCCAGCUGCUACUCUCUAGAAGCCACACAAGCAGACUUCUAAUCUAAGUACCAGGUGAUGUUAUUUGUUGUUGGUGAUGGUGUUCAGCAGGUAAAGAAAAACCCAUUUUCAACUUAAAUAAGUCACCCUUUAUUUUUCCAGAAGCAUAUACAAUGCUUAAGACAAAUCCAUCACUCCCAGGGAGAUUUUGAAAGGUUUCCAUCAAGCACUGCUAAUUAGAUACAUGGGCUUGUGUCUAUCUUUACAUGUACAAGCCAUUCACAAUGCCACAGAAUUUAAAUCUGCCUAGAAUCCACGUAGGAAUAUAUACAUGCAAAUGUUAACAAAACUGCCCCUCCGUGUUGGAUUGAAGGCUUAAGGAAUGUUCCUCAUAUAAACUACUGUACUACAAUAUAAACAGUGCACUGCUUCUUUGUAAGAAGGUCUAUGUUUAGACAACAUCCCAUUAUGAAGGGCCAAGAAUAAAAGUGGUGUUUUAGCUCUAAAACAUGUAAACAGUUUAUGAUUUUUGCUGAAAUCUCAAAUCUGGAAUAUUACAAAAUAUAAAAAAUAUAAAGCAGACUAUACAUACUAAGGACAUAAAUGUUCUAAAUGAAAAUUAGUCCUCUAAAAGUAUAAAACCAACUUUUAGAAAUAUGGGCAUAAAGAUGUGUAAAUUGGAAAUAAAUUUACAUUUAUUCCCCCAAA